GUCAGGUACCCCCUGCCUAAAGGCAGGGGCUUGUGAAAGCAAGCUCGGACCUGUCCAGACUUAGCCAUGGGCCUUCUGCGCGAGGCAGGAGGUUAUCAGACUACGAUAGAGGAGAAGUGUUCAAGUUCCUACCUACAGGUGCGUGCCAGCCGGUAGCUCUAGAAUCUCUGGGUUAAACAGCAAAGCGGGGUCUAUGCAGUGCUCAGGGAAAAGUACCGCUCUCUAUCAUUGUCGAGGCAAACAUUACCCUGGAAACAGG
rnacentral:sRNA from 1 species